GAUGAACGCUGACAGAAUGCUUAACACAUGCAAGUCUUUGGCGAAGCCGUGCUUGCACAGCCUAGCCAAGGCGGACGGGUGAGUAACGCGUAAGGAACUUGCCCUGCAGUCAGGGAUAACAGACGGAAACGACUGAUAAGACCUGGUAAAGUCAGGCGGACUCAUGUCCAGCCUGAUGAAAAGAGAUGCUGCAGGAGAGCCUUGCGUCCUAUUAGCUUGUUGGUGGGGUAACGGCCCACCAAGGCGAUGAUAGGUAGCCGGCCUGAGAGGGUGGACGGCCACAAGGGGACUGAGAUACGGCCCUUACUCCUACGGGAGGCAGCAGUGGGGAAUAUUGGACAAUGGGGGCAACCCUGAUCCAGCAAUUCUGUGUGCACGAUGAAGGUUUUCGGAUUGUAAAGUGCUUUCAGCAGGGAAGAAAAAAUGACGGUACCUGCAGAAGAAGCGACGGCUAAAUACGUG
rnacentral:rRNA from 1 species